rnacentral:rRNA from 1 species
CCUACGGGCGGCAGCAGUGAGGAAUAUUGGUCAAUGGGCGCGAGCCUGAACCAGCCAAGUCGCGUGAGGGAAGACGGUCCUAUGGAUUGUAAACCUCUUUUGUCGGGGAGCAAAAGACGCCACGCGUGGCGUUCCGAGAGUACCCGAAGAAAAAGCAUCGGCUAACUCCGUGCCAGCAGCCGCGGUAAUACGGAGGAUGCGAGCGUUAUCCGGAUUUGUUGGGUUUAAAGGGAGCGCAGGCGGAAGAUCAAGGCAGCGGUAAAAUUGAGAGGGUCAACCUCUACGAGCCGUUGAAACUGGUUUUCUUGAGUGAGCGAGAAGGAUGCGGAAUGCGUGGUGUAGCGGUGAUAUGCAUAGAUAUCACGCAGAACUCCGAUUGCGAAGGCAGCAUACCGGCGCUCAACUGACGCUCAUGCACGAAAGUGUGGGUAUCGAACAGGAUUAGAUACCCGAGUAGUC